rnacentral:rRNA from 1 species
CGCGUAGGCGGUCUUGUAAGUCCCGUGUGAAAGCCCCCGGCUCAACCGGGGAAUGGCACGGGAAACUGCGAGGCUUGAGUUCGGGAGAGGGAAGCGGAAUCCCGGGUGUAGCGGUGAAAUGCGUAGAUAUCCGGAGGAACACCAGUGGCGAAGGCGGCUUCCUGGACCGAUACUGACGCUGAGGCGCGAAAGCUAGGGGAGCAAACG